GGUUCUAAAUCUUUACUGCUCCUAGAAUCACCUGGGAAGAUUUUAAUAAAGCUGAAGCCGAAGGUGCCACCAGACCAGUCCCAUCAGAACUUGUGGAGGUGGGACUCAAGCAUCUGCAUCUGAAAGGUCUCAGGUGCCCUCCUCAAUACCCAUCACCCACCCCCCAAGGGCUGGAGUGACUUCUUAUUCCAUGUGUGCCGUUUGGAAGAGUGAUGACAACAGGUGCCUGGAAGGGCAUGGAAACGUUGCUAGGAAGAGCUCAGGUGGAAGAAGGAGCCACGAGAGACCCACAGCUAAGAGGAGUGUGAUUUCUGAUUUCAUGGGCCUUCAUACAUCCUCACACAGAUGCAGGAAGAAACACUGCCCCCCCCCCCAACUGAAAAAGCUCAAAGAAAUGUGGGACAAAAAUAAAAUUGAGUUUUGAUCAUGUUGUA